AGUGAACGCUGGCGGUAGGCCUAACACAUGCAAGUCGAACGGCAGCACAGUAAGAGCUUGCUCUUACGGGUGGCGAGUGGCGGACGGGUGAGGAAUACAUCGGAAUCUACUUUUUCGUGGGGGAUAACGUAGGGAAACUUACGCUAAUACCGCAUACGACCUACGGGUGAAAGCAGGGGAUCUUCGGACCUUGCGCGAUUGAAUGAGCCGAUGUCGGAUUAGCUAGUUGGCGGGGUAGAGGCCCACCAAGGCGACGAUCCGUAGCUGGUCUGAGAGGAUGAUCAGCCACACUGGAACUGAGACACGGUCCAGACUCCUACGGGAGGCAGCAGUGGGGAAUAUUGGACAAUGGGCGCAAGCCUGAUCCAGCCAUACCGCGUGGGUGAAGAAGGCCUUCGGGUUGUAAAGCCCUUUUGUUGGGAAAGAAAAGCAGCAGGUUAAUACCCCGCUGUUCUGACGGUACCCAAAGAAUAAGCACCGGCUAACUUCAUG
rnacentral:rRNA from 1 species